rnacentral:misc_RNA from 1 species
CAUAUAUUUCAAUUCAUUUAGCUUUUGAUGAGUCACUUGGAAGUUGUAAUUUUAAGCUCCUCCUAAGAAAAUCAGACAACUUUGCACUGGCAGCAUGCCCUCGCUCUAGACACUUGAGAUAUUCUUCCACUACGGAACAAAUUUAAAGAGGAAAAUAUUAGAAUUGGAUCUGGCAUCACAAACCAUGAACCCCAACCAAUUAAAAAUAUGUAGUAUGGGAGGACCAGGGCCAAACCACAGAAAAAGAAAAGCUUUCAUGCAAACUACCUUAGAAGCCCAUAACAAUUCAUCUUUUGAACUUUAAAACUUACUAUACUCUGAAAAGGAUGAAAGCAAAUGUGUCUUCUCAUGACAAAGAAAUCCCAGAAAUACAAAUAAGCACUGGUACUAGAUUUAUAUUCAUUAAUAUUAGGUUUAUGAUUUUGUUCUCCAGCCAAGGGAAUAGAAGACAGGAGGGUAUUAGGAAUUGAAAAGAAAUUAGAUUCCACAUGUUUCUAUGAUUUUAAGGAUAAAUUUUAAUAAUUGUCCAUGAAUUUAUAUGAUUGUAACAUUAUAAUCCUUCAACUUUAAAAUGUAACAU